UGCAGUCGAGCGAAGCACUUAAGUUUGAUUCUUCGGAUGAAGACUUUUGUGACUGAGCGGCGGACGGGUGAGUAACGCGUGGGUAACCUGCCUCAUACAGGGGGAUAACAGUUAGAAAUGACUGCUAAUACCGCAUAAGACCACGGUACCGCAUGGUACAGUGGUAAAAACUCCGGUGGUAUGAGAUGGACCCGCGUCUGAUUAGGUAGUUGGUGGGGUAACGGCCUACCAAGCCGACGAUCAGUAGCCGACCUGAGAGGGUGACCGGCCACAUUGGGACUGAGACACGGCCCAGACUCCUACGGGAGGCAGCAGUGGGGAAUAUUGCACAAUGGAGGAAACUCUGAUGCAGCGACGCCGCGUGAAGGAUGAAGUAUUUCGGUAUGUAAACUUCUAUCAGCAGGGAAGAAAAUGACGGUACCUGACUAAGAAGCCCCGGCUAACUACGUGCCAGCAGCCGCGGUAAUACGUAGGGGGCAAGCGUUAUCCGGAUUUACUGGGUGUAAAGGGAGCGUAGACGGCACGGCAAGCCAGAUGUGAAAGCCCGGGGCUCAACCCCGGGACUGCAUUUGGAACUGCUGAGCUAGAGUGUCGGAGAGGCAAGUGGAAUUCCUAGUGUAGCGGUGAAAUGCGUAGAUAUUAGGAGGAACACCAGCGGCGAAGGCGGCUUGCUGGACGAUGACUGACGUUGAGGCUCGAAAGCGUGGGG
rnacentral:rRNA from 1 species